rnacentral:rRNA from 1 species
UACGUAGGGUGCAAGCGUUAAUCGGAAUUACUGGGCGUAAAGCGUGCGCAGGCGGUUAUGCAAGACAGAUGUGAAAUCCCCGGGCUCAACCUGGGAACUGCGUUUGAAACUACAAGGCUAGAGUGUGGCAGAGGGGGGUGGAAUUCCACGUGUAGCAGUGAAAUGCGUAGAGAUGUGGAGGAACACCGAUGGCGAAGGCAGCCCCCUGGGUUAACACUGACGCUCAGGCACGAAAGCGUGGGGAGCAAACAGG